UACGGGGGGGGCAAGCGUUGUUCGGAAUUACUGGGCGUAAAGGGCUCGUAGGUGGCCAACUAAGUCAUACGUGAAAUCCCUCGGCUUAACCGGGGAACUGCGUCUGAUACUGGAUGGCUUGAGUUUGGGAGAGGGAUGCGGAAUUCCAGGUGUAGCGGUGAAAUGCGUAGAUAUCUGGAGGAACACCGGUGGCGAAGGCGGCAUCCUGGACCAACACUGACGCUGAGGAGCGAAAGCCAGGGGAGCAAACGGG
rnacentral:rRNA from 1 species